rnacentral:rRNA from 1 species
GACGAACGCUGGCGGCGUGCCUAAUACAUGCAAGUAGAACGCUGAAGAGAGGAGCUUGCUCUUCUUGGAUGAGUUGCGCACGGGUGAGUAACGCGUAGGUAACCUGCCUUGUAGCGGGGGAUAACUAUUGGAAACGAUAGCUAAUACCGCAUAACAAUGGAUGACACAUGUCAUUUAUUUGAAAGGGGCAAUUGCUCCACUACAAGAUGGACCUGCGUUGUAUUAGCUAGUAGGUGAGGUAAUGGCUCACCUAGGCGACGAUACAUAGCCGACCUGAGAGGGGGAUCGGCCACACUGGGACUGAGACACGGCCCAGACUCCUACGGGAGGCAGCAGGAGGGAAACUUCGGCAAGGGGGGCAACCCUGACCGAGCAACGCCGCGUGAGGGAAGAAGGGUUUCGGAUCGUAAAGCUCUGUUGUAAGUCAAGAACGGGUGUGAGAGUGGAAAGUUCACACUGUGACGGUAGCUUACCAGAAAGGGACGGCUAACUACGUG